UAAAAACCCCGACUUCGGAAGGGGUGUAUUUAUUAGAUACAAAACCAAUGCCCUUCGGGGCUCUUUGGUGAUUCAUGAUAACUAUACGAAUCGCACGGCCUUGCGCCGGCGAUGGUUCAUUCAAAUUUCUUCCCUGUCAACUUUCGAUGUUUGGGUAUUGGCCAAACAUGGUUGCAACGGGUAACGGAGGGUUAGGGCUCGACCCCGGAGAAGGAGCCUGAGAAACGGCUACUACAUCCAAGGAAGGCAGCAGGCGCGCAAAUUACCCAAUCCCGACUCGGGGAGGUAGUGACAAUAAAUACUGAUACAGGGCCCUUUCGGGCCUUGUAAUUGGAAUGAGUACAAUUUAAAUCCCUUAACGAGGAACAAUUGGAGGGCAAGUCUGGUGCCAGCAGCCGCGGUAAUUCCAGCUCCAAUAGCGUAUAUUAAAGUUGUUGUGGUUAAAAAGCUCGUAGUUGAACCUUGGGCCUGGCUGGCCGGUCCGCCUCACCGCGUGCACUGGUCCGGCCGGGCCUUUCCCUCUGUGGAACCCCAUACCCUUCACUGGGCGUGGCGGGGAAACAGGACAUUUACUUU
rnacentral:rRNA from 1 species